GCUAUUUGUCUUCCAGCAGUUCUUUUCUCAUCAGAUUCAGGAAGAAAAUGAGUUUUCAGAGCUUUCUACUGUUGCUUUAAAACUUAAUUCACUCCUAUGCAAAGUAAGCCAGGCAGAGUGAGCCACGACGUGUUUUUUUAUUUUCUUUCUUUCUGCGUAUCUGGCACCACUUUCUCUUGUAAGCUUGCUCUUAAAUGGAGACAGUGCAUCCAAGUCAUUUCUGGCACGGCACCUACAGGAUGGGGAUUUUUUCCAGUUGCAGCAAAAGGCCGCUUCCUAUCAGAGGGAAAUGUCAGCACAUCGGAGGCAUGGGGUAUGGAGCAGCGCAUGGACAGAUCUGUCCAGGCAGAACGGAGGGACAAUGUGACUUUCUGCAGGUGGUUAUACGAAGUUAUACGAAGAGCAGAAAUGAAAAGUGUGUCUUCCAAGACACAGGCCAACAUACUGAAUGUGUUCAUCCUUCCUCCUGUGUCCCCUGCGUGCUCCACGCUGUACUUGUCUGCAGUAUUAGCCUGCAAAGUUGCAGAGCGUUUCACACACGCAGCACUAAGGUAUCUAACAGUGUCUACUGCCGAGAAACACCUGCAUUAACCUUAACUAUCGACAUGCCAGCCAGAAAUAGCAGCUGGUGGGAUCACCUCUCUCAUGAAAGCUGCUGACCAGCUCUGGGUGCCGCUCCAGGCCACUUGGGUGUGUUCUUCAGGAAGAUCCCAGCUCACCGCAGAUGAGGCUGCCAGCUCGUGUCCUCUCCGAGACCCUUUGCGCUAGCAGAAGAUGUUGGGUCCCAUCAGCCAUCCCUGGGUCACCUAUCGUCUUAGAGGCAUCUCCCUCCCCUCCCUGGUGCUUCUGGCUUGCACGCUUGCGCCGUCCAUUAGCCGAAAUGAGCUAGCUCAAACCGGGUAAGUAGUAGAUCGGUGCUAACCCGUGUCACAUUGGCUGAAAGACCAACCACCAGAGCCGUGUCUGCUAGCCAGCAGGAGGAGGACAUUUCAUGGGGUAGGUGACAGCGGCGAGGGAAGGCACUUUCUCUCCCUUCCAGGUAGAUUUUGCUGGUGGGGAGGAGGCAUUUUUGCCUGGUCGACAUCCGGCCUCUGCCUCAAAGACAGCAGCAUGAGAGCACAUGAGCCAGCAUGUGACCUCCGGGGCAUGGAGAGCCUGUUUAACAGAGAAUUUCUGAAGAAAAGGGUAGUGCAGCCAGGAGUGGGUGUAAAUGUUACUGCGGCAUCUACGUGCCCAAUAAUUCUUAAUAAUGGGAGGUUUGCAACAUCUCAUGUGGCAAGGAGGUGCUGCAACUAAAAGGCUUAUUUCAUCUCUCCUAAAAAUCAGAGCUGCUAUGUGAGGCAGUGAAUGAACAGAACUGGUGGAAAGAGAAGAGAAGAGAAGAGAAGGGAAGGGAA
rnacentral:lncRNA from 1 species